AUGCAGUCUGGGCUCAGAUGGGUUUUCCUUGUUGCUCUGUUGCAAGGUGUCCAGUGUGAGGUGCAGCUGGUGGAGUCUGGGGGAGGCUUGGUCCAGCCUGGGGGUUCCCUGAGACUCUCCUGUGCAGCCUCUGGAUUCACCUUCAGCAGCUAUGAGAUGCACUGGUUCCGCCAAGCUCCAAGGAAGGGGCUGGAGUGGGUGGCAGGUAUAUGGUAUGAUGUAAGCAAGCAAUACUACGCAGACGCCGUGAAGGGCCAAUUCACCAUCUCCAGAGACAACAGCAAGAACACACUUUCUCUGCAAAUGAUCAGUUUGCGAGCCGAGGACACGGCCGUGUACUACUGUGUGACUGACAUAGUGAGGGGACAUCAUUGUGAGCCCAGACACAAACAAACAUCUCUUCCACUCCCAUUUCCUGAGAGGUUCCCCAGUGGGUGA